rnacentral:lncRNA from 1 species
CUUCGCCCUGUGCGGCAGGAAAACUUUAUUUCAUCACUCUCUCCUCUGACAUGUCAAAACACAGAAGCUUCUGCACCCUUAGGGCCUCUGUUCUCUGGUGGAAAAAAUAAGAGGCUGGGUAGCUGAGAGGGCAUGUUGGCAUUCAGUGAUGGGCAGGACUUUAUCAUUGGUGUCAAAUUUCUGGGGAACUCUCAUAGACAGAAAAGAACACAAAUGAGUGGAGAGACCCAGCCUGUCAAUGGGCCUGAUUCCUGUCCUGACUGAGCCCCCAAUUCUUUUGCCUCCAAGCUCAGAGAAGGGAGUGAAGAUGUUUCUUUCCUGAAGAAAUGUGCUGUUUGGGAACACGUGCCAUCCAGUCCCUCUGACUCCGUGCCCUGAUUUUCUCUGGGUGUCCAUCCCCCGCUUUGAGAGCUCACGUCCUUGCAGGGAAG